rnacentral:rRNA from 1 species
GGUCGGGNAANCAGUUGGAACGACUGCUAAUACCGGAUGUGCCGAGAGGUAAAAGAUUAAUUGCCUGGAGAUGAGCUCGCGUCUGAUUAGCUAGUUGGUGUGGUAAGAGCGCACCAAGGCGACGAUCAGUAGCUGGUCUGAGAGGAUGAUCAGCCACACUGGGACUGAGACACGGCCCAGACUCCUACGGGAGGCAGCAGUGGGGAAUUUUCCGCAAUGGGCGAAAGCCUGACGGAGCAAUACCGCGUGAGGGAGGAAGGCUCUUGGGUUGUAAACCUCUUUUCUCAAGGAAUAAGUUCUGAAGGUACUUGAGGAAUAAGCAUCGGCUAACUCCGUGCCAGCAGCCGCGGUAAUACGGAGGAUGCAAGCGUUAUCCGGAAUGAUUGGGCGUAAAGGGUCCGCAGGUGGCAAUGUAAGUCUGCUGUCAAAGAAUGAGGCUCAACCUCAUCAAGGCAGUGGAAACUACGUAGCUAGAGUACGGUCGGGGUAGAAGGAAUUCCUGGUGUAGCGGUGAAAUGCGUAGAGAUCAGGAAGAACACCGGUGGCGAAAGCGUUCUGCUAGGCCUGUACUGACACUGAGGGACGAAAGCUAGGGGAGCGAAAGGGAUUAGAUACCCCUGGUAGUCAA